rnacentral:rRNA from 1 species
AACGAACGCUGGCGGCAGGCCUAACACAUGCAAGUCGAACGCUCGUAGCAAUACGGGAGUGGCGCACGGGUGAGUAACGCGUGGGAACGUGCCCUUUAGUUUGGGAUAACAGCUGGAAACGGCUGCUAAUACCAAAUACGCCCUUCGGGGGAAAGAUUUAUCGCUAAAGGAUCGGCCCGCGUAAGAUUAGGUAGUUGGUGGGGUAAUGGCCUACCAAGCCUACGAUCUUUAGCUGGUCUGAGAGGAUGAUCAGCCACACUGGAACUGAGACACGGUCCAGACUCCUACGGGAGGCAGCAGUGGGGAAUAUUGGACAAUGGGGGAAACCCUGAUCCAGCCAUGCCGCGUGAACGAUGAAGGCCUUAGGGUUGUAAAGUUCUUUUGUCAGGGAAGAUGAUGACGGUACCUGACGAAUAAGCACCGGCUAACUUCGUGCCAGCAGCCGCAGUAA